rfam:Schistosoma haematobium scaffold468_17, whole genome shotgun sequence.
AUCCAGUUGACAAGUCCCAAACAGAACUAAAUGCGCAUCCUGAAU